CGAUAGUAUCGAGGACACUAUUUUCAUAUUGAUAAUCAUUCAUAUUUUUCCUAUCGACGGUAUUUCCGAUUAUCGAUCUUUUUAGCCAGCACUACUAAACUGACUGUUUGUGGAACAUUUACAA